GCUCUCUCUCUCGGCCCCCCCCGCCCCCCCUUCCCCGCUCAGCGCAUUACUGGGUAACGCAGUGAGGAGCAGUUACAGUCUGUACUCCCGGGCAGCUAUAGGCUGCCACAGGAUGUGCUUAAGCAAACAAAACUACUUUUCCUCAUCCCCAUCCCCCCACCCCCGCCGCAGACCUUCGCGGACCUCGGUGGAGGAUUUGGGCAACUUUGCCAGGUCGCCCUGCACCCCCUGGGCCACUGUGUGGGCACGAAGAGCACCGAGGAGGAGGCCGGGCGACACAUUUGCAUGUAUGCAAAUUUCUUUUAAAAAUCAGACCUCCUAGGUAACUUUUUUCCCCUCUGAAAUGCGGUACGGCUCAAAGCAUUGUAAUCUCUCCAGCGAAGCUUUCUGUGGGAAUAGAUUCGUCGGCAGAGGUAAUUAUGCACAAAAUCCUGUAAACUUUGGGCAGCUUCAGUCCUAUGGCAUUCAGAAGCGGGGGUGGUGAGGAAUAAUUUCACACAGAAGAUUCACCGGAUUGGAGAGGGGGGGGGGGGUCUGGAGAGAGGAAGGCGGAGAUUAAUGAGCGUUCUCCCUCCCAGGACUCUGUAACUAGUGGGUUUGAACACAGAUGCCAUACAAAAAGUUCUGUCACGUUCAGAACCAACAGUGGUUUAGCUGGGACAUCUUUUUUUCUUUCUUUUUAGGAGGAAAAAUAUAUAUGAAAGAAUAUCCCCGUAGGGAAGGGAUAUAUUCUGAUCUACAAACAGUAUGCCCAGAAAUGGAC
rnacentral:lncRNA from 1 species